rnacentral:rRNA from 1 species
AUCAACGCUGGCGGCGUGCCUCAGACAUGCAAGUCGAACGAUUAAAGCUCUCUUCGGAGAGUGUAUAGAGUGGCGCACGGGUGAGUAACACGUAAGUAAUCUACCUUUGAGUGGGGAAUAACAAUCGGAAACGAUUGCUAAUACCGCAUAAUGCAGCGGCACCGCAAGGUGACAGUUGUUAAAGGAGCAAUCCGCUUAAAGAGGAGCUUGCGGCAGAUUAGCUAGUUGGUAAGGUAAUGGCUUACCAAGGCUACGAUCUGUAUCCGGUCUAAGAGGACGGUCGGACACACUGACACUGAAUAACGGGUCAGACUCCUACGGGAGGCAGCAGUCGGGAAUUUUGGGCAAUGGGCGAAAGCCUGACCCAGCAACGCCGCGUGAAGGAUGAAGUAUUUCGGUAUGUAAACUUCGAAAGAAUAGGAAGAAUAAAUGACGGUACUAUUUAUAAGGUCCGGCUAACUACGUGCC